AUUUAAAGACAAUAAGAAGAUAGAGGUACUGACUUCUAUGCGUGCUGGGGUUUGUGCUAAAUCUCCUAGCACCAUUUGAAAUCAGUACUACUCUUCUUAG
rnacentral:pre_miRNA from 1 species